rnacentral:rRNA from 1 species
AACGAACGCUGGCGGCAGGCCUAACACAUGCAAGUCGAGCGAGGACUUCGGUCCUAGCGGCGGACGGGUGAGUAACGCGUGGGAACGUGCCCUUUGCUACGGAAUAGCCCCGGGAAACUGGGAGUAAUACCGUAUGUGCCCGAGAGGGGAAAGAUUUAUCGGCAAAGGAUCGGCCCGCGUUGGAUUAGGUAGUUGGUGGGGUAAUGGCCUACCAAGCCGACGAUCCAUAGCUGGUUUGAGAGGAUGAUCAGCCACACUGGGGCUGAGACACGGCCCAGACUCCUACGGGAGGCAGCAGUGGGGAAUCUUAGACAAUGGGGGAAACCCUGAUCUAGCCAUGCCGCGUGAGCGAUGAAGGCCUUAGGGUUGUAAAGCUCUUUCAGUGGGGAAGAUAAUGACGGUACCCACAGAAGAAGCCCCGGCUAACUCCGUGCCAGCCGCCGCAGUAAAAC